GUGAGUGACGGUAAUGGGUAAAGAAGCACCGGCUAACUACGUGCCAGCAGCCGCGGUAAUACGGAGGGUGCAAGCGUUAAUCGGAAUUACUGGGCGUAAAGCGCACGCAGGCGGUCUGUUAAGCUAGAUGUGAAAGCCCCGCGCUCAACGUGGGAUGGUCAUUUAGAACUGGCAGACUAGAGUCUUGGAGAGGGGAGUGGAAUUUCUAGUGUAGCGGUGAAAUGCGUAGAUCUUAGAAGGAACAUCAGU
rnacentral:rRNA from 1 species